GGACAGCAACCAUCUGCGGCUCAAGUGCCUGCCUACCUGCGCCUGUACUCUUCCUGGAAAUAUUCCCCCUGCACAUCCCGGCUGUGCAAGAAGAGGGCGUCUCAUCCCAGUGGCCCAAAUCCGGUGUGGCACAGUAUUCUCUGGGACAACACAAAUGGUGGAGGUAUGCCUGAAUGCACAGAUGGACGGACAAGAGCCAAGAUGACAACAAUAACAGGGCUCUCGUUGCCCAGCAUACAACAGUUACAUCUCCUAACAAAUCCUAUUCCAGCUUCCUCUCCUCCACCUGUGAGGUGGGUUGUCCAGCCAGGGGAAGCAGGAGCAGUGGAGAUUAUCCUCUUGUUCAUCUAUCACUGGGAGCUCUGAUUCGGUUACCACUGGUUACCCAUUCUGGCUCUGAGGCACACACCUCAAGCAUAAUUGUA